UUGGCUUAUAAGGGAAGAAAGCCCAUUUUUCUUCUUCCCCUGGCAGACGUCCAACCCCUUCCCCAUCAAACCUCCAUUCUUUUUAUUUGCAAGCUCAAAUCUUAGCCUCUAAAAUCUCAAAUAUCAUUCAUAGAUCACAGAUUGAGGUUCGAGUGGCAGUGUAGAAUGAACAAGCAAGGACUUCUAUUUCAUUAAGCGUAUCAGGUUAAGCUGUGAUGCAGAUGGUAGCAAGCAGAGCAAAGCCCUCAGUGUAUAUAUAUAUAUAAUUUAGGCUCGGGAUUUCAUGUCCUCAUACAUGUAAUCCACUUGAGUUAUUUCCGCUGCAACACUUAAUGUACUUUACUUUAUUGAUGUGUUGUAGAGAUUUUAAACCAAUAGCUUCGAGAAUUAUAUCACUUAGAGAACUUGUCGUUGUGUUAUUGUAAGUUGUCAACUAGUGAGUUUUAAAAGUGAUUGUAUAUGAUUACCAGAUAUUAUGGUAAAGUAUUGCUUAAGCAGGAUAAUUAUUUUUAUUGA